UACGGGGGGGGCAAGCGUUGUUCGGAAUUACUGGGCGUAAAGCGCGCGUAGGCGGAACGUUAAGUCCGGUCUGAAAGCCCCCGGCUCAACCGGGGAGGGUGGCUGGAAACUGGCGUUCUUGAGGGCGAGAGAGGAGGGUGGAAUUCCUGGUGUAGCGGUGAAAUGCGUAGAGAUCAGGAGGAACACCCGGGGCGAAGGCGGCCCUCUGGCUCGACCCUGACGCUGAGGCGCGAAGGCGUGGGGAGCGAACGGG
rnacentral:rRNA from 1 species